UUACCAGCUAACCUUGUGUGAUGAGGGGUGGUAAUAGUCUUGCUCUGUAGUAGUGUGAAGAUCUGGAGGACGCAGGCCAUGGCCUCCAGUCUGCUGGUCCAAGAUCUGUCUCCUUUUUUUCAUGUGUCUGCCUUUUUUUAUUUUGAAAGCCAUGUGUGUUUUAAUCUGAAAGUUGUGAGAAUUUUUCUGUAAUUUGCAAGGAAUUUUUUGGAAGUUGUGAGAAUUUUCUAAAAGGUUUGCAAAGAUUUCUGAAUGUUGUGUCCAAAUUGAUGGAAGUUGUGAGAAUUUUCUGAAUGUUUCAUCAUACACAUUACAGUCAAUUAUCCAUUUCGUUCAGCAUGGUGGCCAAGAUGCGGCAGCCCCAUGCUCUGUUCCGAUGGGCCUCCUCUGCUCGAUGGUUGACGCUGGUUGAGUUUGGUACGGUUUCCUGUUGUUGCUUGUGUCGAGCCAUGGGUCCGUCUCUCCUUCGCACUGAGCGUAAUUCUCCUGUCGCUGGCGCUUCUUCUUCUCGUCCGUCCUGCUGCUUACCAAAGUGCUUCUGCUUGCUGCCUCAGGUUGUACGAUCUCUUCUGUCACUGUCAUUCGACUCAUUAAGGUUUCUUCUUUUCUUUCUACUACAUGUGUGCGUGUUUUACUUUCAGUAUCUUCUAUGUCAUGCUGUCUGCCUUGGUGAUCUUUUAAAUAUCUGUAUUUUGUGCUGAUCGUUUAAAUGUUCCGGAUAUGGUUGGGCGUUGUGUGUUGUUCGUUCUCGGUGCUACUUAUAUUUCGUGUAUGCGUGUGAACAGGGUGUGUAUGCUUGUUUCCGUUGUUAUACCUGUUUUGGAGGCUGUGGGUAGCUCGAUGCGCUUUGCCGUCCCUUUCAUAUCUGUGUGUAGUCGGAGGAUGGCUCUGUUCUUGCUGGUGUAGAACUCGAGCUCCCAUGGGACAGAUCUGGUCCUAUGGAGAAGCUUGAUGAACAAGCCGAGGCAAGCUCUGGUGGUAAAGCUGAAACUUCAUCACCUACUGUUGAAGAAAAGGAUGAUGACAAUGACCAGGCUCAAGUGACCAGAAACAAAAGAAUGAAGUGGCAAGCAUAGAAGAAAUGCAGAGCCAGUUUCCCUCGGAUACAGUGUAUUACACUGAGUCUGAGGAUACACAACAGUCUAUUGAGGCUACUCUACCAUCGGUGAAAAUCCCCAACAGAAUGAUGUUGGAUGUCCUUUUAGAAUCUUUGGGCCUGCCAUUGGCAGCACAAGAGGAUUGAAAGGUUUUUAUAUGAAUGUUAAAUCUGCUUUCCUCAAUAAUGGUCCAAUAAAACAAGUGUACGGGGAACAACUUCUUGGCUACUAGAAAAAAAGGCAAAGAGAAAAUUUGCAAGCUCAACGAGGCACUAUAUAUAAGGGCUAGCGACCAAGAGCUUCGAACAAAGUUAGACCAAAGUUAGACCUGUCUCAGUUUCAAGAGAUAUUCCUUUGAGAAGAAAAUCCAAAAGUUCAACCUGCUAGUUGAAGUGUAUGUCGACGAUCUGGUUAUAGCUGAAAAUAGCAUGUUUGUCUAUCCCUAGCCGCAUAGUCGGUAACGCUUUGAGCAUGGUAAGUCGGUUAUGUACUGACUACUGUCAAAGAAAAUAUAUCCAAGAAGGUGCAAAUUGCAUGCAUCAUCAAAAAAUUCUCCGCUCAGUUUCUUUUUUUAUUGGUGGGGAUCCGUUCGGUUUUCUGAUCGCAGUUACGACAAGUUCUGUCCAGGGCAAACCACCGAGAUAAUUUGAUCCGAUUGUUGUUGUGCAGUGGAAGACGCAGUUAGACGUGCAUGUGCUAGACAGCACAUCAAUCAAGCUACCUGCUUGUGUGCUUCCUAGCUUUGCAUAUAUGUGCGUUGUGCUUGGCAGCACAUCAAUUAAGCUGCGUGCUUGUGUACUUCCAAUCUGAGUUUGCAUAUACUGCCUUGCGCUUGGCUAAGGGUCUAACAAACAAUAUAUGCACAGGUAUAAAAACAUUUUGGCACAGAAUCAAGGUGUGGCGACUGCCACACCUUGCCCACUGGAGUCCUCCGCCAGUGCUCCCCACCCACCCAUCAUAGUCGGGCAAGCCUACAUGACGAUAGGGGACGGCGGGGCUAACCAUCACACCCGCUAUGGCUUGAAGGGGUACUCAUCGCGCCUCGGACGGCGGUGUCGGUCCUUCGCGGUUCUCCCAAUUCAUUGACGACGGGUGUCCCUUUGUGCGUGCUUUCCUUGAUGCAGAUGAAUCUGGGUGGUGGUCGUCGUCGACUUGUGCCAGACUUGGGCAGGGGCCCUCCUUCACCCGAUAUUGUGAAAGAGUCAUCCUCGACGGCUCUUGUGACUAGCUUUGGCCGGCAUGGGCCGGGGUUGUGGCCUUGUGCCCUCGCGUGCACCCAUAGCUGUCCCAAAUCGCCAAAUCUGACGAUAUUGGUUGGGGGGAGGGGGACACCGGUCCCGUCUGGAUCUCACUGGUGUG